rnacentral:rRNA from 1 species
UGGGGAAUUUUGGACAAUGGGGGCAACCCUGAUCCAGCAAUGCCGCGUGUGUGAAGAAGGCCUUCGGGUUGUAAAGCACUUUUGUCCGGAAAGAAAACGCCGUGGUUAAUACCCGUGGCGGAUGACGGUACCGGAAGAAUAAGCACCGGCUAACUACGUGCCAGCAGCCGCGGUAAUACGUAGGGUGCAAGCGUUAAUCGGAAUUACUGGGCGUAAAGCGUGCGCAGGCGGUCCGCUAAGACAGAUGUGAAAUCCCCGGGCUUAACCUGGGAACUGCAUUUGUGACUGGCGGGCUAGAGUAUGGCAGAGGGGGGUAGAAUUCCACGUGUAGCAGUGAAAUGCGUAGAGAUGUGGAGGAAUACCGAUGGCGAAGGCAGCCCCCUGGGCCAAUACUGACGCUCAUGCACGAAAGCGUGGGGAGCAAACAGGAUUAGAUACCCUGGUAGUCCACGCCCUAAACGAUGUCAACUAGUUGUCGGGUCUUCAUUGACUUGGUAACGUAGCUAACGCGUGAAGUUGACCGCCUGGGGAGUACGGUCGCAAGAUUAAAAACUCAAA